CCUGAGGAAGGGCCAGAGCGGUUGGUCGUACCUUCUGCUGUCCGUCUGGCGGCCGCUGAAGAUGAUUUCCUGAUCCUCACUGGCCAUGUUGACCUGCAAGCAUUCAGUACUCGUCAUGAUAAAGGGUGAGUGACGUCCCUAUUAAGUCAGCCACUAGAGUCAUGGUUGAGGUUGACUUUGUCGGCACUGUUGCUGAAACAGACAGGGAGUUCGUCGAUGGAAGAACUACAGAAAAGCCUAUGAUUCCUACAGAAGACUGUUUGAUACUGCAGUGGCAUUCUUCGAGCAAUUCGGACGUUAUUAGCCUCGACGCAUUGACUGCAAUAAACCGCAUCACCACAUCCUACCUGUUUCCUCUGCUCUUCUUGUUCGGCGCCGUGGGGAACAUUCUCUCGAUGGCUGUCUUCUGUAAACUCGGCCUGCGAGAGCGAAUCAACCUCUGCCUGUUUGCCCUAGCGGCUGUGGACUUUAUCGUUGUUUCCUAUGCAUUUGCUCUCCACUCGGAGUCGUUUUACAUGCGUUUCACAGCUCGAAACAGACGGCGGACUUAUGGUGUAGUAUACACGUUCCUCGUCAAAUAUUGUACAGGUCUAAUCGGUUUCGGCAGGUUGUCGCAGUUCCUGUCGGCAGUUGUCGCUGUAGAGAGAUGCGCCUGCGUUGCCAGUCCAUUCCGCGCACGCAAACUGGUGAGGACCUCCACCAUGGCCGCUGUGAUCGCAGUUGCUGCCUUGGUCCUAGUUGGUGGGAUGUUUGGUGUGAUUGGACAAAAGUACACCGUCGUUUGUAUCUACGAUCCCUUGACAAAUAUAACGAGGGACGCUCUCUACGUUACUAAGUUCUACCUCAAGCAUAAAGACAUCCUAGACACAGUCGACGUAUUUGUCAUGUCUACUGCUUUUCCCGCAAUAUUCCUCGGUCUUGUCAUCUUCACCUCGGUCUUCACGACAACCAAGCUAUGGUCAAGCCUUGCAUGGCGUGCAACCUCUGUGAUGUCACAAAACCCUGCAAAGGUGUUGGCUGCGACUGCGGCGGCGGCAGUGUCACCGAAAGAAGUCGCACUAACAAAGAUGCUAAUUUCAACGUCGGUUCUUUUCAUAGUAUGCUCGGCACCUAACCUUGCUGUCCAGCUGGCCUCUUUCUUCGCAUCUGACCUGAAAGAGGGGGGUCGCUACGACAAUCUUGUGCAGGUCCUCCAUUUGGUACGCUUGUUAAGCACCGACAUCCAAUGCUCCCUUAGCUUUGUCGUCUAUUACAAAACGGGUUCCAGAUAUCGCAGUACAGUACGACAGUUGCUAAAGUGUCAUGCAGACUCGCAAGAAUUCAAGUAUAAUAACUCCAGUGGCAAAAUGACCUCGGGUUAGUUCUGAGUCUCGACUGGUUACAGAAAACUACCUGGCUAUUUAAUGACAUGAUGAAAUAGUGGUAAACAUUUGUUUUCUUGAGUACACAGUUUCCAUGAUGUUUUUUUCAGCUUUCAAUAUCGGGUAGACUUGUUAAAGGCCUUAUUUUUGCGACAUUAAUAGCAAGUUUUUAUACUUGAAGCUUUGUAGUGACAGUUGUGCUAUAUUACGUCAGUAAGUCGGACUCUGCUUUCUUGACCUCGAAUGAUGACCGGACAUUAGGCUUUGCUUCAAACUCGAGAGACUGGUUACAUGGACCAAGUGCUUAGCACAAAGCUGCGACUAUUGUUUCACUACCCCUUUAUACCAGUAUUUUAUUUUAUUCUUUUUACGGUAGCCAAUACAAUGCUAUAGGUAACUGUAAUUCGUUUUAUUCGAAUUAUGGCGCCAUAGGGCAGCGAUAAAGACUCGACUUUCCAUUCUAACACUGAAGAUUUGAUACUCUUUGAGUUUUUAAUUUUCCCUUUCGUAUACCCGUUUUGUCUUUUCUUUUGUUCAUUUUGCCGAACUCGUCGACAUGCUGGUUUGGCUGAGUACCGGAUUCACCAUACACAAAGGGAUUUACAACGCCACCAAACGAUGAGUUGCAAAAUACAUCCUCAUGGCCAAGUGUUUACAGGACUGACACAGCAGGAGAUAGAAAAAAGAAAAAGACUCCGGCGGAAGGUGGAGAACUUGGGAAGAAACUUUAUCUAGCUGAUGCUGCGUGUGAUGCAUGUAGCGGCAGGCGUCAAAAGACAAAAAUCAACACAAUUAAUCGAGCAAUACGUUGAACGAGGGAAAAAAAGACUACGUAGUAGUAGUAGUAAAAAAUAGCUCCUUUCCAAAGAUUUGCUCAUAGCGCUUUACAUAAAUGAUAUAAUUGAAGUCGUCGCUCUGAAAAGGUGUCUUAAGUGGUAAGAGAAUCAGAGUGACGAAGGCUGACGGGUAUUCCGUUCCAAGAUGAUAGGGCUUGGUACGAAGAAGCUUGGUGUCAGAAGAUGAGCGAAGAAGUCGUGCGGAUGUAUAGAUGGGAUUGAGUUUGGAGAGGUACUGAGGAACAGUGCCAGAAACGACAGAGUCAAGGUGGAAAGUUUGUAGGCUAUACGGUCCACGACUAUGUCUUGAUGAGAGAGAAAGAGAGAGAUUGGAAAGCAAGUUAAGAGAAGAAAAACUCAAGAAAAAAGUGAAUAAAGUUAGUGAAAGAAAAAGAGAGGUGGUGUACUUUUUAUCGUUGGUGUUAGCUCCAAGCACACGUAAAGAGAAACGCCAAAGCGCUAACAGAAAACAUAACGCUUACAUGUGAGCAUAAGAAUGAACUGUUUUUACCAAGUCAAGUCAGUACAUGGCAGCUCUCAAAUAUGCUAAACAUAUCUGUUUUAAUUCAGUGCAGGAAUAACUCGCAGUCCUAUAUAAAUAUACAAAAGCUGGUGCAAGGGCCACAGUGUAACAAUCGCAGGUGAGUACAAUCAAAAUUUAAAAUGUACUAAACUGUAUUUUUCAUUUAUCAGUACAGUAUCGCGUGCAGUAAAUUACAACAUCACAAAAAAUGACAACAUAUAAAUUCAGACACAAACUUCCCGCGGAACCCGUAAAAAUUAAUAUUUGGGAAGACACCAAGGUAGUUAGAAGGCACAAUAGUAAUGAGUGCCACGUUCAUAUUUUCCCUGUUAUUCUUAAAGUAAAUGUGCGUUUGUGUAUAUAAUAUAUAUAUAAAAGCAACGUGUAAAUAAAGGGUUAAGCUUAGAGGUUAAGGACACGCGGAGGUGCAAAGGGCAAUAGCUAUAAACAACUAGCAUAACAAUAACUAAUGUCAUUUUAACUAAACAUUUUAAAAAAAGACUCUGAAAACAGUGUUUAAUGCCCUGUCCUUGCUUGUAAUGUCAUUCACUGCAUGGCACAGUAUUGCUAACAGAUCAGCAUGCAGUGCCUUAUAUUUUUUCAAAUAUCCGAACUGCAUUUACAAUUGACAUUUGACCAAAAUAUAAUAUGACAUCCCACUUUACCAUCAGCAUACUUGCAUAUAAACGCACAUUUAAACCCGUUUCACAGUUUUCUAGCUCACGUAUCCCAACCCAUGAUACACGUCUGUGACACACUUCUCUCUCUCUUACACACAGACAGCACGUGAACUGACAGACACGCACACAUAUGAGGGAGGAAGAGAGAUAAGGUAAACGUCCCUUAAACUUAUUUGGUUGUCGGGGAGUGUGGUGUUAGGGGCAACACUUUUCGUGGGGCCAACGUGUGUGAACAAUGCAACGCAGAAGCAAUUGUAACAUAUCUCUAUGACCGAGAACAAAUGGGGACAACGAAAUUAGGCAGUAAGGAUGAGAGAGAGAGAACGAGAGAGGAAGGAUAAAAUUAUGUGUACGUAGAAACCAACCCAGGGUCUUUCCAUAUACAUCGUGUGCAUACCAGAGAUAUGCAGAGGCAGACGAGCAGAAAGACACGUAUUGAGCCAAAAUGUAACAGAGAGCAAACAACAUCGUUCGCUCGACUGGGAUCUUUGUGUAUUAGGCUCGGGUACCCCGCUGAAGUCUCAUCUGUUCACGAGAAUUCUGCUGCACAUAGUUCUUUAGGACUCCAGUUCGCUUGCUGCGAGGCACACAGACACGCUUUUCAAGACAGUUUAAACAAGCUGAGGCAAAAAUGCAGCAAUUAUCACUUAAUAAACAUUAUACCACUUCUCUUACAGCUUGACCUCGAGCAUAAUUAAUUAUUGGAGUAAAUGACUUUCAUUCCCACUCUUUCAGAAGACUUGUGAAAGGCGCCUGGUCAGAAAAUGCUAUCACAAAAAGAAAAUCCAUGUUUCAGACACACGCUUGUAUUUUAGCUGCCAAACAACAAAACAAAACAAAACAA
rnacentral:misc_RNA from 1 species